rnacentral:rRNA from 1 species
UACGGGGGGGGCAAGCGUUGUUCGGAAUUACUGGGCGUAAAGGGCUCGUAGGCGGCCAACUAAGUCGGACGUGAAAUCCCCAGGCUCAACCUGGGAACUGCGUCCGAUACUGGAUGGCUUGAAUUCGGGAGAGGGAUGCAGAAUUCCAGGUGUAGCGGUGAAAUGCGUAGAUAUCUGGAGGAAUACCGGUGGCGAAGGCGGCAUCCUGGACCGACAUUGACGCUGAUGCGCGAAAGCCAGGGGAGCAAACGGG